rnacentral:misc_RNA from 1 species
GGGACGCUGACCGAGUUUGGCAAUGCAGUGCAGAAGGAGACGUCGAGGAAGCCGGUGCAGGGCGCGGAGAUCCACCCACUCACUCGGUAUGUGAUGAAUUAUCUCAAACUGUUAGUUGAUUACAGUGAGUCCUUGGAUAUGCUUCUAAAAGAUAAUGAACAAGACGUAGAACAUCAUGAUGAAGGUAGUAGCGAGAGUAAUGACAGCCAGUAUCUCGGGAACAUGGCCCCGUUGGGGCGACGGUUACAUUUGCUCAUAUCCUUUUUAGAGGCUAACCUUGAAGAGAAGUCUAAACUGUAUGAUGAUUUGGGGAUGCAGUACAUA